CAAAUCCAGUACCAGAACUGGCUGACUCAGAAUUUACCUUAGAUGGAAGAUAGGGUAGGAAUUUUGGAAGAAGGAUGACCUUACAGAUCAAGACAGACAAUUGCAGGAAAUGAAAAUUGGACAUUUGACAUUUGAACCUCUCUCCUGUGUUUGGAAAACUCUCCAUCAAUGUGAUACAAUGGUGGAAAGCGGGGUCUAGGCUCAAUGGAACAGAUGGAGUCUCGCUCUGUUGCCCAAGCUGGAGUGCAGUGGCGGGAUCUCGGCUCACUGCAACCUUUGCCUCCUGGAUUCCAGCGAUUCUUGUGCCUCAGCCUCACAAGUAGUGAUGAGCCCUCCUCUUCAGCUAGGAAAAUGACGGUGUUCAGAAAGUUAAAACUUCUUCGCUGGAAGGAUUUCAUCUUAAAGUUGGGAGACUGGAAGAAAUUAAAGUGUUCUAAAUGGAAGAGCAUUCACCACAUGUGUUCUG
rnacentral:lncRNA from 10 species